UGGGGAAUUUUCCGCAGUGGGCGAAAGCCUGACAGAGCAAUGCCGCGUGGAGGUGGAAGGCCUACGGGUUGUCAACUUCUUUUCUCAGAGAAGAAACAAUGACAGUAUCUGAGGAAUAAGCAUCGUCUAACUCUGUGCCAG
rnacentral:rRNA from 1 species